rnacentral:rRNA from 1 species
ACGAACGCUGGCGGCGUGCUUCACACAUGCAAGUCGAACGGAAAGGCCCUGCUUUUGUGGGGUGCUCGAGUGGCGAACGGGUGAGUAACACGUGAGUAACCUGCCCCUGACUUUGGGAUAACUUCAGGAAACUGGGGCUAAUACCGGAUAGGAGCUCCUGCUGCAUGGUGGGGGUUGGAAAGUUUCGGCGGUUGGGGAUGGACUCGCGGCUUAUCAGCUUGUUGGUGGGGUAGUGGCUUACCAAGGCUUUGACGGGUAGCCGGCCUGAGAGGGUGACCGGCCACAUUGGGACUGGGAUACGGCCCAGACUCCUACGGGAGGCAGCAGUGGGGAAUAUUGCACAAUGGGCGGAAGCCUGAUGCAGCAACGCCGCGUGCGGGAUGACGGCCUUCGGGUUGUAAACCGCUUUCGCCUGUGACGAAGCGUGAGUGACGGUAAUGGGUAAAGAAGCACCGGCUAACUACGU